CGUGGCCCUUAUCGAAGGCGUUCCUGUUUCCCUGUAGCAGGUGACGAUCAAAAGGGAGCCUAAAUAAUCACUUUUACCGACGGUCGCUGUGCGGCUGUCCCCUUAGCCACUUCAGCAACAUUAAGGGAAAGGACACAU
ensembl:snoRNA Small nucleolar RNA SNORA16B/SNORA16A family